CCCUGGCUUAGUGUUUGAAUGUGAUUGGA
rnacentral:piRNA from 1 species